rnacentral:rRNA from 1 species
UACGUAGGGGGCGAGCGUUGUCCGGAUUUAUUGGGCGUAAAGAGCUCGUAGGCGGCUUGGCAAGUCGGGUGUGAAACCUCCAGGCUCAACCUGGAGACGCCACUCGAUACUGCUAUGGCUAGAGUCCGGUAGGGGACCACGGAAUUCCUGGUGUAGCGGUGAAAUGCGUAGAUAUCGAGAGGAACACCUGCGGCGAAGGCGGGUUGCUGGGCUGAUACUGACGCUGAGGCGCGAAAGCCAGGGGAGCGAACGGG